AGAGUUUGAUCCUGGCUCAGAAUGAACGUUGGCGGCGUGGAUUAGGCAUGCAAGUCGCGCGGAAAGGCUCCUUCGGGAGCACUCGAGCGGCGAAAGGGAGAGUAACGCGUGGAUAUCUACCCUCGGAUCUGGGAUAGCGGCGGGAAACUGCCGGCAAUACCAGAUAAUGUCUCCGGACCAAAGGUGUAAUUCCGUCCGAGGAUGAGUCCGCGUCCUAUUAGCUUGUUGGUGGGGUAAUGGCCUACCAAGGCUGUGAUGGGUACCGGGUGUGAGAGCAUGACCCGGCUCACUGGGACUGAGACACUGCCCAGACACCUACGGGUGGCUGCAGUCGAGAAUCUUCGGCAAUGGGCGCAAGCCUGACCGAGCGACGCCGCGUGCGGGAUGAAGGCCUUCGGGUUGUAAACCGCUGUCAGAGGGGAGGAAAUGCAUGGGGGUUCUCCCUCAUGUUUGACCUAUCCUCAGAGGAAGUACGGGCUAAGUUCGUGCCAGCAGCCGCGGUAAUACGAACCGUACGAACGUUAUUCGGAAUCACUGGGCUUAAAGAGUGCGUAGGCGGCUUGGAAAGUUGGGUGUGAAAUCCCUCGGCUCAACCGAGGAAUUGCGCCCAAAACUUCCAGGCUUGAGGGAGGCAGAGGUAAGCGGAACUAAUGGUGGAGCGGUGAAAUGCGUUGAUAUCAUUAGGAACACCUGAGGCGAAAGCAGCUUACUGGGUCUCUUCUGACGCUGAGGCACGAAAGCUAGGGGAGCGAACGGGAUUAGAUACCCCGGUAGUCCUAGCUGUAAACGAUGAGCACUGGAUUGAGGGGACUUCCACAUCCUCUCGGUCGUAGCGAAAGUGUUAAGUGCUCCGCCUGGGG
rnacentral:rRNA from 1 species